GCCUCAGUGACCCCACACCCCCUUCAGGCCCAAGCCUGGAUGGUACCGGAUGGAACAGCUUCCAGUCGUCGGAUGCCACUGAGCCCCCAGCCCCUGCUCUGGCCCAGGCCCCCAGUAUGGAAAGCCGACCCCCAGCGCAGACAUCCCUGCCAGCAAGCAGCGGUCUGGACGACCUAGACCUCCUGGGGAAGACCCUCCUGCAGCAGUCGCUGCCCCCGGAAUCCCAGCAAGUGCGGUGGUGAGGGCCCACCAUGGCUGGCAUGGGGUGGGGAGCACUCCCUGUUCCCACAAACCAGCAACUUCUCCUGGGCUUGUCCAGGCCCAGCAGGGAGAGGCUCGUUGCUGUCUUGUUUUGUAAGCAGCAGAU
rnacentral:lncRNA from 10 species